GCUAAAUUAAGGCGAUUGUAAAGGUUAUUUUAACGUCAAAUUCAUUCUGCUAUGGAAACACUUUUUAUCUACCUGUUAGCACUGAGCUUUCGUUCGUUUUUGAACGUUUAAUUUAGCAAGGAUUAUAUCUUCAGGAUUUAUUCUCAAAUAGAUAACAUACUGUAGGCGGCACAAGGUAUUCCCGUGUAGGCAUGGGCCGCAUGGAGACAUCGGUGCGUCUUGGUGGUGCACUGCAGCGCCUUCUCGUAGGCAUUGUAGUCCGGACUCAGCCGGCGCUCCGCCUGAAAAUGGGAUGCAAUUGGAUGAGCCAGCUGGAUGAGCGGCACUUAAUCAUCGACCCACCUCCUCGUACACCUCGUUGAUGUUCUGGAAGUUGUUGGUGCCGGGACGCUGGAGUCCUUUAAGCGUCUCGUAGAGGAAGAGCUCGAAGUUCUUAAACGUGUACUCGCUGAAGUUGUAGCGCCUGAGUCGCGUGCCCGUUUCGCCGCCCAGAAGGACACAGGACUUGUGGUAGUCGUCCACCGCCCGCUUCACCAGCACCGCCUCGUUCAGCUUACUGGAGCGAAUCUGCAGCGACUUGAGCUCCAGGAGAUGCUGGAAGAUCUUGCGCUCCAUGUAAUAUCUGCGAAUGAAGGAGAUUGAAAGCCAUUAACAUUGUUCCCAUCAUCUCCACAAUCCGAAUCUGAAUCCGAAUGAGAAUAAGAAACAGCGUGUCGGGGCCUUGCAAAAUAAAUGUUAGCAAAUGUACGUAAAUUGUCAUUUUGAUAUUUCGCGAGUCACAGACAAAGGCAGUCCGCUACCCGCUGUUCUAACAAUGCUGACAAAGGACCUUCCUCUGCUCCAUCCAGGAUCCAGGCCGGAGCGCAAUAAAAGGCAUCAUGUUAUUAAAAUUUCAAAAAUACUAAAGUGCGUACGCGG
ensembl:ncRNA asRNA:CR43476 antisense RNA:CR43476